ACUCCAAAAUAGCUUUGUCUAAUUUGAAGGGAAACCAUGCAGCUUCCUCCGUCUCUCUGAAGGCUGGGUAGGUUGGGGCCUGGUGGAAGAGGCUCCUCUCUCUUGGGGUGCCUGAGGCUAGGAGACAGGACCAGGUGUUAACCAGAUGUCAGCAGCAGCUUUAGCCCACACCUCAUGUUUUCAUCAUUAUCAACUGCCCUAGGGUCUGUUAUACAGGCUAUGGAUAAAACUCAGAAUGAGUGUGAGGUCAGUGGAUACUAGGGAGAAUUGAAAACUUUCUGGGGUUUGAAUACAGACUGACUCUUGCAGCCUUACGUGUUUGAAUAUGUGGUCCUCAAUUGGUUGAGGUUGUAGAACCUUUAGGAAGUAGGCAUUUCCUGAAGAAAGUGGGUCAUGGGGGAAGGGGUGAGCCCAGAUGUCUAUAGUCUAGUCUUGCUCCGAUUCAGUCUUUACUUCAAGUCCCACUGGUGAUGUGAGCGAGCAGUUGUCCCCUGCUCCUGCCACCGCAGAGGCACCGAGAGACAGGAAGUCCUGUGAGAAUGGGACCAAGGCCUCACGUAGGUGGAAACUGGCAAAGCCUUCCUCUUCUCCAUGCAUGGAUAUUGACAAGGUGUACAGAAAGCAUUGAGGGCGGCUUCCUCCUGGAUGAUCACAGCCUGAGACUGCUUCCCUACAGAGACGGUUCACUGAGACUACCUACUCCCUCCUCCCGUACUGUGCGUAGUAAGAGGGAUGAGAUUCCGGGUUGUUGUAUAGUUGGUGUUGCUCCAUCAGAGCAAGCCCAGCCCUCCAUACCCCAGCUUUUCAGUAUGCGAGUCUGCAUCUGAACUUUCUUCAUUCCUUUGUUCCCCUGUCAAGUUUCCUGUGCCAAGCCACGCUGGAUGUGGAACAGAGCUACCUGUCACCGUCUCGUUCCUCCCAUGUUAGACUGGAUCCUUUUAAUCCAUGAGCCCAUAUAAACCCUUCCUCCCUGAAGUUGACUCUUGUCGCGUAUUUGGUCAAAGAUGCGAAGAGUAACUAACACAGAGAACGGGUACCGAGGGCUGGGGCUGUCGCUGUGAUAAACCGGAAGUAGCACAGACUAGGUUCCGAGCGCUGGGGUUGUUACUAUGAUAAACCGGAAGUAACUAACGCAGAGAACAGGUACGGAACACUGAAGCUGUUGCUGUGAUAAACAGGAAAUAGUUAACACAGAGAACGGGUACUGAGCGCUGAGCUGUUGCUGUGAUAAACCGGAAGUAACACAGACUAGGUACAGAGUUCUGGGGUUGUUACUAUGAUAAACCGGAAGUAACUAACGCAGAGAACAGAUACGGAGCUCUGAGGCUGUUGCUGUGAUAAACAGGAGCAUGUGCGGCUUGGGCCAUGGGUGAACUUUGGGUUACAGUCAUUGUAGGGUGCUGUAAACUGGCCCAUUCAUCUUAUAUUCUGGAAGAGAGUCUACUACCUUCUGCCAGUGCUCUGAGAAGUUGCAUGUGGCUUUUAAAAUUGCUACCAAAUAGCCAGCUGACCCCUGAAGGUUGAUGAAGCUAACACAGAGAAAACAGAUGCACAGCAUGGAGGCGUCUCUGUCACGAUGCUAUCCUUCCAGCCUGGAUGGGGAGCUCCAUGUAGCCAGAGACCUGGUUUGUCUGUGUUCCUGGUGACAAGAGUCCUGUACUUGGAAGAAAGAUACGUUGGGAUAAAAAGCAUCCUUCACUCCACAAGAUAGAAAGAAGACGGAGACUGGGGAUCUACACAGGGAGCCACGGCUAGGGCCCUGCAAGGAGGACUGUGACAGGGAUUCGUAGCUCAAGUGGGCACGGCAUCUGCAACAACAGAACAGCGCAGAACUGGCCAUCCCUGAGAAUCUCAGUUUGCAUCGUUUUGCUCAGUCGGGGGAGGAGCAUCAGAUUGAAUACACAGCAAAUGUGGAUCAAGAAGGCCUCCAUGGGGUCUAGUGUGGAACACUAAGAAAUGAAAGAAAAUAAAUAAAUAAAUAAAUAAAUAAAUAAAU